rnacentral:rRNA from 1 species
UAGGGAGGCGUAGCGAAAGCGAGUCGUGAAAAGGGCGAUAUAGUUGCUGGACGUAGACCCGAAACCAGAUGAUCUACCCAUGGCCAGGAUGAAGGUGGGGUAACACCCACUGGAGGUCCGAACCACUAGUGUUGAAAAACUAGGGGAUGAGCUGUGGGUAGGGGUGAAAGGCUAAACAAAUCUGGAGAUAGCUGGUUCUCCCCGAAAACUAUUUAGGUAGUGCCUCAUAUGGACACUUCCGGGGGUAGAGCACUGUAAUGGUUGAGGGGGUCGUUUAGAUCUACCUCGCCAUAGCAAACUCCGAAUACCGGAAAGUGAUGUAUGGGAGACAGACGUGGGUGCUAACGUCCAUCGUCAAGAGGGAAACAACCCCAGACCGCCAGCUAAGGUCCCCAAUGAUUGGCUAAGUGGAAAACGAGGUGGGAAGGCAUAGACAGUCAGGAGGUUGGCUUAGAAGCAGCCAUCCUUUAAAGAAAGCGUAAUAGCUCACUGAUCGAGUCGUCCUGCGCGGAAGAUGUAACGGGGCC